UUCCCAUUCCGAACAGAGAAGUUAAGCCCGCCAGAGCCGAUGGUACUGCAGUAAAAUGUGGGAGAGUAGGUCGGUGCCAACU
rnacentral:rRNA from 1 species